AACGAGCGCUGGCGGCAUGCCUAACACAUGCAAGUCGAACGAGAUCUUCGGGUCUAGUGGCGCACGGGUGCGUAACGCGUGGGAAUCUGCCCUUUGGUUCGGAAUAACAGUUGGAAACGACUGCUAAUACCGGAUGAUGACGAAAGUCCAAGGAUUUAUCGCCAAAGGAUGAGCCCGCGUAGGAUUAGCUAGUUGGUGUGGUAAAGGCGCACCAAGGCGACGAUCCUUAGCUGGUCUGAGAGGAUGAUCAGCCACACUGGGACUGAGACACGGCCCAGACUCCUACGGGAGGCAGCAGUGGGGAAUAUUGGACAAUGGGCGAAAGCCUGAUCCAGCAGUGCCGCGUGAGUGAUGAAGGCCUUAGGGUUGUAAAGCUCUUUUACCCGGGAUGAUAAUGACAGUACCGGGAGAAUAAGCUCCGGCUAACUCCGUGCCAGCAGCCGCCGUAA
rnacentral:rRNA from 1 species